AGGAGAAUGUGCGCAGUAGCAGUCGGAGUGAUUUGAUGUUAUCACUUGGUGACGGAAUGAAGAAAAAGAAAGGAAAGAGAAAGUCAAGUGCAAAGACAAACACAUCAAGACAAAAGAUACAAGAAAAGUGGCAUCGUCCGACAUGGCGGAAAGAAUGUUAAGAAAAGAGUUAGAACAAGAGAUCUACAAUGAAAAUUAUAUCCGGAAAAUGUACAGAAGAAGAUGGAGUAGGAAUGCACAUCAAGACAGAGUGAACAGUGUGGAAGCGAAGCGUGAAGGUGAUGUCGUAUUGGAGGAAUUUGACGAUACUAUCGAGCCUUCAGCGGAUCGAUCAUGGCA